rnacentral:tRNA from 1 species
GCCCCGAUGGGGUAGUUCGGAUAUCCUUGAGGCCUGCGGAGUCUUAGACCUGGGUUCAAAUCCCAGUCGGGGCG